rnacentral:rRNA from 1 species
AACGAACGCUGGCGGCAGGCCUAACACAUGCAAGUCGAACGCUCCGCAAGGAGAGUGGCAGACGGGUGAGUAACACGUGGGAAUCUUCCUAUCGGUACGGAAUAGCUCAGGGAAACUUGAGGUAAUACCGCAUACGCCCUUCGGGGGAAAGAUUUAUCGCCGAUAGAUGAGCCCGCGUCUGAUUAGCUAGUUGGUGGGGUAAUGGCCUACCAAGGCGACGAUCAGUAGCUGGUCUGAGAGGAUGACCAGCCACACUGGGACUGAGACACGGCCCAGACUCCUACGGGAGGCAGCAGUGGGAAAUAUUGGACAAUGGGCGCAAGCCUGAUCCAGCCAUGCCGCGUGAGUGACGAAGGUCUUCGGAUUGUAAAGCUCUUUUGCCAGGGACGAUAAUGACGGUACCUGGAGAAUAAGCCCCGGCUAACUUCGUGCCAGCCGCCGCAGUAAUAC